rnacentral:tRNA from 1 species
GGAGUGGUAUCGAAGAGGUCAUAACGGGGCGCACUCGAAAUGCGUUAGGGGCCUUGCUCCACGUGGGUUCGAAUCCCACCCACUCCG